UACGUAGGGUGCAAGCGUUAAUCGGAAUUACUGGGCGUAAAGCGUGCGCAGGCGGUUUGUUAAGUCCGCUGUGAAAGCCCCCGGGCUCAACCUGGGAAUGGCGGUGGAAACUGGCGAGCUAGAGUGUGUCAGAGGGGGGGUAGAAUUCCACGUGUAGCAGUGAAAUGCGUAGAGAUGUGGAGGAACACCGAUGGCGAAGGCAGCCCCCUGGGUCAAGACUGACGCUCAUGCACGAAAGCGUGGGGAGCAAACGAGG
rnacentral:rRNA from 1 species